AUCUAAUUGACGAGUCCCAAAUAGGUCGAAACACGCGUCCUAGAU
rnacentral:hammerhead_ribozyme from 1 species